rnacentral:rRNA from 1 species
GAUGAACGCUGGCGGCGUGCCUAAUACAUGCAAGUCGAGCGAACGGACGAGAAGCUUGCUUCUCUGAUGUUAGCGGCGGACGGGUGAGUAACACGUGGAUAACCUACCUAUAAGACUGGGAUAACUUCGGGAAACCGGAGCUAAUACCGGAUAAUAUUUUGAACCACAUGGUUCAAAAGUGAAAGACGGUCUUGCUGUCACUUAUAGAUGGAUCCGCGCUGCAUUAGCUAGUUGGUAAGGUAACGGCUUACCAAGGCAACGAUGCAUAGCCGACCUGAGAGGGUGAUCGGCCACACUGGACCUGAGACACGGUCCAGACUCCUACGGGAGGCAGCAGUAGGGAAUCUUCCGCAAUGGGCGAAAGCCUGACGGAGCAACGCCGCGUGAGUGAUGAAGGUCUUCGGAUCGUAAAACUCUGUUAUUAGGGAAGAACAUAUGUGUAAGUAACUGUGCACAUCUUGACGGUACCUAAUCAGAAAGCCACGGCUAACUACGUG